UACAGAGGUCCCAAGCGUUGUUCGGAUUUACUGGGCGUAAAGGGUGCGUAGGUGGCGGGGUAAGUCUGGUGUGAAAGCUCCGAGCUCAACUCGGAAAAGCAUUGGAAACUAUCCCGCUGGAGGGUCGGAGGGGAGACUGGAAUUCUCGGUGUAGCAGUGAAAUGCGUAGAUAUCGAGAGGAACACCAGUGGCGAAGGCGAGUCUCUGGACGACUCCUGACACUGAGGCACGAAGGCCAGGGGAGCAAACGGG
rnacentral:rRNA from 1 species